UUUGCGCCUGUCAUGCCGGUGAAAGCUCUCAUCCUCAACGUCGCCUGCUACCGCUCCAGCGCCUAACGCCGAACGUUACCACUCCAACCGGCCGGCGCCGGCUCCCGCCCCCACUCCGGCGCUCACCUCUGGCACCCCAACAACGCCCGCGCCCCACGCUCCCGGCUGCCGUCGCGCCCGCGCUUCCGGCCGACGCUGACUCCGUCGCCUGCUCCCGCGGUCCCGCCCCAACUAAUCCGGUGCACUACUGAUGGGAAAUGAUAUUUUUCAGAACAAUUUGGAAAGGAUUUUACCAUAGCAUUGCUGAUUGGAAAGAGAACUCAGAACGUCAAGUUUGCACGGGAGACGACAAACACCAAUAUAAUGGCCAUGUAGCGCAUUGAGAACAUAGGAACACCUCACCAGCAAUGGUUGUGAGCAAGAUGGAUUUGCCACGAUAAAUUUACUAGAAUCUGUUGAACUUUGAAUUUUAAUCUAGCUAUAGUCCUAUACUGGCUCUUUGCUUUCAAUUUCUUUCUGUGCUUUUUGUUAUCCUUCUUUUAUAGAUGACAACAACAAGGCUGGAUUUGUUGGACACCAUUCUACAAUACACUAGAUUCUAUUAUUAUUGAGGUGGUGAUAAAUGUAUAUGCUUCCUAACCGUAAGAUGUGAGCAGUGUGUCAUCUUCUAUGCAAAUUAUGUUUAAGCAUUGAGGAAUUUUUUUCUUCAAUUUAAGGUGUGACCUUGUUAGCUCAAAUUAUCCUAUGAUCCGAAUGUUGCAAUGGUACACUAAGAUAUA